rnacentral:piRNA from 1 species
UCCAUGACUGGUCACAGAAGGAGCUGGUGU